AUUCUGGUUGAUCCUGCCAGUAGUUAUAUGCUUGUCUCAAAGAAUAAGCCAUGCAUGUCUAAGUACACACGAAUUAACAGUGAAACCGCAAAAGGCUCAUUAUAUCAGUUAUGGUUCCUUAGAUCGUUAACAGUUACUUGGAUAACUGUGGUAAUUCUAGAGCUAAUACAUGCAAUUAAAACACGGACCUUUUGGAACGUGUGCUUUUAUUAGGCUAAAAACCAAGCGAUCGCAAGAUCGUUUUAUUGGUUGAACUCUAGAUAACAUGCAGAUCGUAUGGUCUUGUACCGACGACAGAUCUUUCAAAUGUCUGCCCUAUCAACUUUUGAUGGUAGUAUCUAGGACUACCAUGGCUGCAACGGGUAACGGGGAAUCAGGGUUCGAUUCCGGAGAGGGAGCCUGAGAAACGGCUACCACAUCUAAGGAAGGCAGCAGGCGCGUAAAUUACCCACUCCCAGCUCGGGGAGGUAGUGACGAAAAAUAACAAUACAGGACUCAUAUCCGAGGCCCUGUAAUUGGAAUGAGUACACUUUAAAUCCUUUAACAAGGACCUAUUGGAGGGCAAGUCUGGUGCCAGCAGCCGCGGUAAUUCCAGCUCCAAUAGCGUAUAUUAAAGUUGUUGCGGUUAAAAACGUUCGUAGUUGAACUUGUGCUUCAUACGGGGUAGUACAACUUACAAUUGUAGUUAGAACUAUACCUUUAUGUAUGUAAGCGUAUUACCGGUGGGAGUUCUUAUAUUUAAUUAAAUACUUGUAUUUUUUUAUAUAUUCCUCCUAUUUAAAAACCUGCAUUACUGCUCUUCAU
rnacentral:ncRNA from 1 species